UUUAACUCAGUGGUAGAGUAAUCCCAUGGUAACGCAUAAGCCCUCGGCUCAAACCCGAGAAGGGACU
rnacentral:tRNA from 1 species